rnacentral:rRNA from 1 species
AGUCGAACGCUUCUUUCCUCCCGAGUGCUUGCACUCAAUUGGAAAGAGGAGUGGCGGACGGGUGAGUAACACGUGGGUAACCUACCCAUCAGAGGGGGAUAACACUUGGAAACAGGUGCUAAUACCGCAUAACAGUUUAUGCCGCAUGGCAUAAGAGUGAAAGGCGCUUUCGGGUGUCGCUGAUGGAUGGACCCGCGGUGCAUUAGCUAGUUGGUGAGGUAACGGCUCACCAAGGCCACGAUGCAUAGCCGACCUGAGAGGGUGAUCGGCCACACUGGGACUGAGACACGGCCCAGACUCCUACGGGAGGCAGCAGUAGGGAAUCUUCGGCAAUGGACGAAAGUCUGACCGAGCAACGCCGCGUGAGUGAAGAAGGUUUUCGGAUCGUAAAACUCUGUUGUUAGAGAAGAACAAGGACGUUAGUAACUGAACGUCCCCUGACGGUAUCUAACCAGAAAGCCACGGCUAACUACGUGCCAGCAGCCGCGGA